rnacentral:rRNA from 1 species
UAACUGUAGGGCUAAAGUCAUCAAAAGGGGAAGAGUGGGUGAGUCAUCUUUGGCUACCAUAGUCCUUGAGUCUCAAGACCCGCCAUUGGUGACUCUAGAGGUACAAACCGAAACCGCGGACAAAGACAACCCCGAUCUGAGGGGUGAGCCGGCUCAUGAAAAUGAGACGGUUAAUGCUGAUGAGCCAGUGGCGAUGGAAAGUGUCUAGGUCGACAACCAGAUCAAUACAGACGACCCGACGCAUAACAUUGACCCACCAUGUCCUGCUCGUGCCUCCAGCCCAAUAAAAGAGGCUGAAAAUAUCAUCCCAUCUCAUACAAUGGGCGAUGCAGAAGUGAAUAUCACUAGAGAAGCCUAUAAUGCUCUAGAGGCAUCAAACACCUUGACCAAGUUUGUGGUCAAGGAUGAGUUGUCCCCAUUAUCAAAGGGAAAUUCAAGCUGGAACUCCCCAAAUUUGAAGAGCUGAGUGUAGAAGAAAUCCACCAAGGAUAUUUGACCCGGUAUCUAAGAGCCGGGAUGCUGAAGCAAAUAUGAUUAACAUCCUGAAACGCAGAUAUGUGGUAUGAAACAAUCCUCCUUUCUCAUUAUUGUCCAUGCUAACGCAGCCCCCAAUUCUUAGGCAUAUGAAAGAUAUGAUUGUGUGUAAGACUUGCUUAAGGAUCCGAGUCCACUUUAGUCCCCAAGGGCCGACUUAGUAAAUCAUACUGAGCUGGGACUUAAAAUUUAGUAAGAAAUGAAAUGUGAUGUUGUAGCCCCCAAGGGUUGGGUCAUUAUGUGAAUAUGAGUCGGUACUUCAAAUUAUCACUUAGCUCAUAUUGCGGAAGAAUGCCUUAUAGCCCCCAAGGCCCAGCUUUUCUUCGGAAGGUAGCCAGGUCUUCCAUGUGUAAAUAGUUGUAGUUGAUAAAACUUCUUGCAUUAGCCCCCAAGUGCCAUGUAGAUUGUUUGCAACUACUUGGGACUUGUUCAGACAACAAGCUUUGCAUGUUGUAGCCCCCAAGUGUUGGAUUGUCUGUUUGCGGCAACUCAGGACUUUGGAUAACAUUUGAAGUUGAGUAAUAUGUAGGAAAUGCUAGAUGAAGCUGAGUCAUCUAUGGCCGGCUUACAAAAAGAUUGAAAUAGUAAAAUGAGCUAAGGAGAAAAGCUGAGAACUUGGCGGCUGAUCGCCAAAGGUCUGUGUACCAAGCAACUGAUACGUUGCAGGAGGCCAGAGCUCAAUUUGAAAAUGAAAAGGCCAGCUUGUAGAAAAGGGCAACUUGAGCUGGUGACUCAUCAGCUGAGUGAUUUGAAUCGUCAUAUAACAAAUAUGAUAAUGGCCAUCUUUGGUAGAAAAAAAUUACAAUGUUGUCCAGCUUCCCCUGGUGAAGUUAAAGGCGAUCUACUCUUAUGUGGAGCAGUUGUACACUGGUGGUGCUUAUGCAAUUAUGGCGGCUAACCAGAAUGCACCACCCCUCAAUGGUUCUAAGACAUGCGCAAUGAUUUGUCCACAAUCCCUCAGUGGAUUGGAGAAAUGGUCAAAUCGGUGGCUCAUGCUAGGUCCGGCAUGGUGCUUGCCCGAGCAAAGGAAUUUCUUCUAGAGAUGGAUCCUAAUAAGUUAGUCGGCGGGUUUCCAUAGUACAAUGUGGAUGGCGCAGAAUUCUCACGAGAAGACUUCUCAUGUUGUGUGAAGGAAACCAUGGUGGCGGUGACUCAACUAGUGAAAGAGCCGGACUUGGUUAAAUAUCAAGCCGACUAUUCAGAAGACAACAAGCGCACCACCCCGCCAAAGUACAAGCCCUUUGUGCUUACUCCGCCACAUCAUAAGCAAACUUUCACUCUUGACAUCGACCCGUCUGCUAUUAUCACCGAGGAUUGAGUUUUCCAAAAAUUAUCCACCAUCCAGUGGAAACCAAGAGACCUCUAGACCGAGCAGGACGAGCCGACGCAGGCUGACCCGACAACGACUGAUGCAGAGGGCCAACAUGAUGACGUCAACUCGGAGACCUCUUAUACGUGCUAAACUAGUAGCUAACUUAAAAACUUUGCUUGAUAUGUGGCCCAGCUGGGGCUUGUAAAUGGAGUAGGAAAAAUACUUGCUUGUCUAUGGUGCCAUCGUGCACUUGAUACUCUAGGCAUAUUUUGCAGAAGGAAUCGAAC